rnacentral:lncRNA from 1 species
GGGACAAGGCGCGAAGAUUGGGUUGAGGAAUGAGUGAGGUGUAAAAAACUUUUUAUCAUCAUCUCGUUGGACACUCCCAACCGCCCUAAGUAGUUGGGAGAGCUGGCUGGUCUUGGAAGGGAGCCGAUCCACGGCUUGUCAAUGUCACAGUCCACCCAAGUUUUUCCUGAUUCCAAAAAAAUUCUUAAUGGACGAAAAUAUGCUUUCAGAUCACGAUCAGAGGUUUCUGCUGGAGGCCACCUCCUCAAAGCACAUCCAAAAAAGGGAGAGCUCCUAGCCUUCCUCCAUCCCCCAAUUCACACGAGCAUCCAGGAAAUAACCUGACAAUUUUAUUUACACGGAUGUGUGGGUGUCUGGCUGGAUUGCCUAGCUGCGUCCUGGGAAGCGGGAUUGCUGAAGGGAAGAAGGAAGGGGUGAUUUUUGGAGUUCCCUGAGAUCAUGCCAGAUGGUAAAGAGCUCUGGACUGGGAGCCAAGACAUCUGGUCCCCUACUAGAGUGACCUCGAGAAGAGAUGCUUUGUGUAGAAUAAAGGCCCUGGAAUUUGAAACCCCUCCCAGAUCUGAGAUUGUCCACUUCUUGAGGGUAAAGACCCAGUUUGGGCAAGAUACUUAUCCUCUGCUUGUCUCAGUUUCUUCAAUGAUAAAAUGUAGAUAGUAAUACCACCUACCUCCCAGGGCUGUUGUGAGGAUUCCAUAUUAAAUGCUUUGUGGACCUUGAAGUGCUCUAUAAGCUUGGGAGAACUGUAAGGAGGAGCAGAGAUUUAGCUCUCAGCUAAUUUUGGAAUUCACAAUGGUAUUGGAGAGGGAGAUCCCAAACAAAGAAUCAAGAACAAUAGACCAGGGAGUGAUUUAAUUUUUUUUAGAAUUUAAUACCUAUUUUGUACAAGACCUUCAGCUUCAGGCUAGAAAUACAAGAAUGUAAAAAAAGUCCCCAACAGAAUUGACAUGCUACUAGAGGUUCCACAAUUUCCACUAGGAAAAUUAGGGGAUAAUAAGCAAAUUAGGAAAACAAGGAAUAGGUUACUUGUCAGACCUAUUACUUUGUAAUAAUGCCUUGUUUGUAAUAUCAGUCAGUGAAUGAAUGGGAUGAAUAAUUUUGAGAACAUUACAUUUUAAAAGGUUUUGCACAAGUCAAACCAAUGCAACCAAAAUUAGAAGAAAAACAAAGAUGGGAAACCAUUUUUACAACAAUGGUUUCUAAUAAAGGCCUCAUUUAAGGGGAAAAGAACAUUUUUCAACUUAAAGGGGGCCCAAUGAAGACUUCAUAGAAUAGUUGGCACCUGAGCAGGAUCUUGAAGUGAAAAAAAG